GACGAACGCUGGCGGCGUGCUUAACACAUGCAAGUCGAACGGAAAGGCCCUGCUCUUGUGGGGUGCUCGAGUGGCGAACGGGUGAGUAACACGUGAGUAACCUGCCCUUGACUUUGGGAUAACUUCAGGAAAAUGGGGCUCAUACCGGAUAGGAGCUCCUGCUGCAUGGUGGGGGUUGGAAAGUUUCGGCGGUUGGGGAUGGACUCGCGGCUUAUCAGCUUGUUGGUGGGGUAGUGGCUUACCAAGGCUGUGACGGGUAGCCGGCCUGAGAGGGUGACCGGCCACAAUGGGACUGAGAGACGGCCCAGACGCCUACGGGAGGCAGCAGUGGGGAAUAUUGCACAAUGGGGGGAAGCCUGAUGCAGCAACGCCGCGUGCGGGAUGACGGCCUACGGGUUGUAAACCGCUUUCGCCUGUGACGAAGCGUGAGUGACGGUAAUGGGUAAAGAAGCACCGGCUAACUACGUG
rnacentral:rRNA from 1 species